UGGGGAAUCUUGCGCAAUGGGCGAAAGCCUGACGCAGCGACGCCGCGUGAGUGAUGAAGGCCUUCGGGUUGUAAAGCUCUGUGGGGAGAGACGAAUAAGCUUUGGCUAAUAUCCAGGGUGAUGACGGUAUCUCCUUAGCAAGCACCGGCUAACUCUGUGCCAGCAGCCGCGGUAAGACAGAGGGUGCAAACGUUGUUCGGAAUUACUGGGCGUAAAGCGCAUGUAGGCGGCCUAGCAGGUCGGAUGUGAAAGCCCUCGGCUCAACCGAGGAAGUGCAUUCGAAACCGCAAGGCUUGAGUCCCGGAGAGGGUAGUGGAAUUCGCGGUGUAGAGGUGAAAUUCGUAGAUAUCGAGAGGAACACCGGUGGCGAAAGCGGCUACCUGGACGAGGACUGACGCUGAGAUGCGAAAGCGUGGGGAGCAAACA
rnacentral:rRNA from 1 species